rnacentral:ncRNA from 1 species
UUGAUCGCAAUGAGAAAGAAGAGUACCUUUGCCAGCGACAUCAGCGAGUCUCGUGAGGUGUGAGGAGGCAGUCCAACGGCGAGGAGAAAAUCACUUUCGAGUCCUAAUCUUAAAAUCCAGUAAGACUAGGUGGUAACACCCAUUAUCGUGUCAGCGUAUCGCUAUUUAGCCGUACGUGAAGAGGUUGUUUGAUGACAGCCUGAAAAUAGGGUGGUACCACGCUAAUGCGUCCCUUAA